GUUAUAAGUAAAGAAGUAUCGCAUAAUUUCAUAAAAGGUAAGCAGUAGACUAGAGCUGCUAAUCCAUAACGGCAUGAACAUGUAUCACCAAUGGACCAAAGGGCGAUUUAUAUUGCAAUGUUAACAUGAAAAUACCACACCAACAACAUAGAGAGUCACAAAACACAUUGUCUCCAUUAGUAUCUUUUACGUAUUGGUAUCACCAUACCAUAUAAGCUCUCUUCUGAACUGUUCAAACUUUGAAAAGAACUCUGAAGCUGUAGUAGCCCACAGUUCUGGCUUAAGCAUUAAAAUGUCUUCGAUUGUUGGAAAAAAUAGCCAUUAGGAAAUCAUGGAAUCUCAGCAAACAAGUAAAUGGACGUUAUACUACAAGAAAUUUCACACAGCCAUAGAGAGAGCCUAGAAAAGAAUCCGAGUGCUAUUGCUCAAUUACAACUUAGGCAACACAACCUAAAGUUCCAGUAUCUAUCUAAUAGAGACCAUAAGCUAACAAGAAAUCACAGAAAACUGUAAACGGAGAAGACGAACUCAAAUCCUUGAAAGAUUUAGCAGCAAGAAGGUGAGAACAACGGGAAAAUAUUCCAAGUAUCAAAGAAAAACUCCAGAAACAGCAUCAAGGUCUAAGGAAGAACUACAUAAAUCAACACAUUGAUGAAGCAUUACCACAUUCACUGAAAUGUCGCGAAUAUACUGAUGCACAAGAACCAAUUGACGCAGAUAUAUCACGAAACCCAGAGAUACAUAGAUGCAAAUUCAAAAACCUAAAACUAAUUUCAUCAAUCCGCACGAAUCGGAGAGAAACUCCAAUUUGAAACUUCAAUCGAAGGUGAGAGAGAGAGAAGGAGAUCGGAAAAUGACUAACGGUGAGACGAAGAAGACGACGUU